ensembl:lncRNA
CCCUUAGUUUUGCUGUGAAACUAAAACUGCUCUAAGAAAUAAACUCUGUUUUUAAGAAAAGACAGUCCUGGCAUGUGAAAUGGGGUCCCUGCUGUCAUAGCAACCUCAGGCAACAUCCGUCUAGAGCACACGCUCUGUCCCCUUCCCGUCCAUUUAGAAGACAUGGGUGGGGAGUCCAGAAGUGAACCAGGUCUCCCACGGUGCCCACAGCGCCCAUUUGUUCUCUGAGUGUCCUGGGCAGUUCUGUUCAAGUGUCAGGGCCCAGGGGGUCAGCCCUGACCCCAGCGCUGAGGCCGACUUGGAGCCGCCUGCUGGGGAAGACCUCCUCCCAAGUCAAAACAGGCCGCCCCCACCACCAGGGAAAGCGGGACAGGGGCCCACCCAGGGCCUCCACUGCUCCUUCUCACACACCAGACUACUCACCACCAUCCCCUGGAGAGCAAGAUCAUGACAAACACCAACAGGCAGAGCCAAGGUUCCCCGUGGCACUCUGCCCACAGGACGGCUUCCUGGAGGAGGCCCCAGAGGGUCACCCAGGAGCAGGACACCACCGGCCUCCUCCCUGUGGGCACCGGGGGUGGUCAGGAGCCAGCCUGGCAGUCCGGAUGGUCAGCUCCCUGUUCGGCUCUCAGGGCCCCCUUUCUUCUGCGCCCGUCCAGCAGCCACAGGAGACACAGCCUGACAAACCCUCCUGUCCAGAGCCAGCAGGAAGGGAGCGCAGCCUGGGAACGCCACUGUCACCAUGGCAACGCGGGGGGGGGGCGGGCCUGGGGACGCAGCCGGUCCGACAGCCACUGGCUGGCCAGAGGGGCGUUGCUUACUGUUCUGGACACCUCUGCUCCCCCUCUGCUCACUUUUAGAAGGUCCCGAGGCAGCAGGGCGGGUCUUAAACCCUCCAGCGUGAUGAGCCGCCUUUUGUCUGUGUGGACGCUCACCACGUACCUGUUUGCUCCCCGCAGCGCACCUGUGAGCUAUUAUUACAUCAUUAAGGGAGCCAAGGAGACCCUCCGGCAGAACCAACGCACCUGGCGAAGAGGGCGCACUAAGAUCUGCUCCUGACACUGAGAACAAACGCAAGAAGAGAAACGUCUAACGGGAAAGCGACGCCCUGAGCGCACGGAACCCGGCUCGGGCUCAGCCGCCCCGCCGCGUCUACGCGAGCCCCCAGUCUCCCCACGGAGUCCCCGCCCACGGCGCGCUGCGGGUCCCCGAGGCGAGGCAGACCCCGGCCUGGCGUCCUCGGCCCGCGGCGCCGCCUGCCGGCGGAGCGGGCGGAAAUGGUGGGAACCGGCGUCCAGCGAUCCCUCCUUCUCCAGCGGCGCCGCCCCACGCCCCGCCCCGCCGGGCCGCCGCCCAACCCCGCGAACGCCGUCCCCGCAUACGCGCCGCGGACGGGGAAGCUACCCGGAGCCUCGCUCCCGCUGGCUGCCCAGACCGCGUGGGCGGAGCCCCGACCCCGGGCUCUGCGCGUUCCGAGGUGUUCCCAGGAACGAAGGCAGCGCUGCAGGCCUGCGCCCCGCGCCCGCGUCCCCGAGCGCCAGCCCCCGCGGCCACCGUCACGCUCAGUGGGGGACACGCCCGCACACGGAGGCCCUCGGCGUGAGAAACGUCUGUGCCCCCGCCCCCCGGACACAGCUCGGGCCCGGGACUCGAACGUGCCCACGUGGCCUGUACUCUGCCCGGAAAGCCCGCGAAUGGAAGCACCGGGUGCGGGGAGGAGAGAACCGGGCUCAGCGAGCGCGGCCUGCGCGGGGGGGCGCCUCCGGCCGCUGGGUAGUUGGGAGGGUCGCGUAGCCACGGAGCAAACAUGGGGGAAAACCAGAGUCUAGAAGCGGCGGUUCUGCAACGAGAGGAGACAGCCGGUGGGACUCCGCAAAUGUUCUUUUUCCACGCUGUUGCGAUGAAAAAUGUGUGAUCAACAACAACUGGGACAGAAGGGAAUUUCCUCCGUUUUCUGGGCACUUGUGAGUCUCAGGCAUUUUCCUGGUGGCUUCAUUUAACCGUCCAAAUCCAGUGUCUUCACCCAAAACUAACACCUGACUGCCUCUCUGAGAAGCGCUCCUUCACAACUGAAACCCGGAGGGGGGCGGCGUCCCAGCUUUCCGGGAGUCCUGUCCGUGAGGAGUCCCACCUGACCCGUGUCACCAGGUGACGCAGUCCCAGCAGCCUGAACCCACGGGUGACAUCUUUGUUCAAAAACCUCGGCCAAGAAAAGCCGCCUUUAUUUGAGGUUUGAGCAGUGAUUUUCCCGUGGCACGUAGAAAAACGGCAGAAAUACUUUCACUCCAAGCACUUAUCUGCUGGGCGUGGAACUAUCCAGGCGGCUGCCCCGUCAAUGGGAUGUUUCUCCGUGCCACCCAGGAGCAUCAAGGGCAGAGGUGCAUCCUCCCCAAUAAGCUGGACACACCUUAUUUUCUUUGCACGUUUCCCCUGACCUUCUGACAUUUUACAGAAGCUCGAUGGGAGCCUUUUUGUCACUCUGCAGACUCAGUCUCACACCCACUCCCGCGGGCACCCACCUGGCCUCUGACCCUGGAGCAGAAAGAACAGAGGUCGUGCCAAUGAGGUCCAAACUCCUGCGCUAGUCUGAUGAGCUGGGACAAUGCCCACCUGCAGCAUUGGGUGUCUGAGAUCUCCCAGGCCAACAGCCCAGAAAACAGCAGCAUCCCUCGGAAACUGAAUCAACCUUCCUGGGCACACAUGACUGCAAAUAAACUAUUAUUGUAUAUUAAAUAAAUAUUAAGUAGGAACCACUUACCAAAUAUGGACGUCUUGAAUACAUAGUGAACAAAUCGUUUGAACAGGUGUGUGCCAGGCCCUCACAUAAGGAUAUUAUCAUUUGCCCCCUGGGAGAUGGGCAUCAUUAAUUCUAUUCACAGGUGAAGAAACUGUGAAGUGUGUAAAUGCCUCUGGAAGAGCAGUUUUGGGGAGAGAGCAUGGCACCUCCUGGCACGGUGGCUCAGGCUCCCCUCCUGGGUUCCUGGUUCACUGACCUCAGCACGGGGGCCAGUGCACUCAGGGCUGGCUUACCUGGGCGCCACCAAGGCUCCCACCUCAAUGGCAGGGGGGUGGGACCACACACACGCCCAUAUC